rnacentral:rRNA from 1 species
CUUGAAUAAAAUAAGAGGUCCAGCCUGCCCAGUGAAAUUAUUCAACGGCCGCGGUAUCCUAACCGUGCGAAGGUAGCGUAAUCACUUGUUCUUUAAAUGAGGACUAGUAUGAAUGGCACCACGAGGGUUCUACUGUCUCCUUUUUUUAAUCAGUGAAACUAAUCUCCCCGUGAAGAAGCGGGGAUCUUUAUAUAAGACGAGAAGACCCUAUGGAGCUUUAAACAACCAACAUUUGCUACACCAUAACAUUUUCCCUAAAAGAAGUAUAGCAUUAUGAUUAUUAGUUUUCGAUUGGGGUGAUCACGGAGUAAAAUAUAACCUCCAUGCCGAAAGGGUUCUUACCCUGAGCAAAAAACCACAACUUUAAGCACUAAAAAAUUAACGCAGUUUGACCCAAUAUUUUGAUCAACGAAC